rnacentral:tRNA from 1 species
GGGGUUGUAGCUCAGUGGUAGAGCACUUGCCUAGCAUGCCUGAGAACCUGGGUUUGAUCCUCAGCACCA